AAGUCGUAACAAGGUUUCCGUAGGUGAACCUGCGGAAGGAUCAUUAAUGAAAGGAACGUUUGGCCCUUGGUCAGGCGCUCUGUUUAGGUCUCACACGGCUGGCUCUGCUUCGUUGGGUGUAAAGACUCAGUUCGAUUCCGAUGUUGCAUCUUGCCAUGUGUCCUACAAACCUCUGCGUGCACCGUAUAUAUGCAUUUGCGUAUUUUUCUGUUUGUUUGUCUGAUGUUUACAUUCUCUGAUUUUGGCUUUGCGCCGAAUGACUGAAAAUAAAACAACUUUUAACAAUGGAUCUCUUGGCUCUC
rnacentral:misc_RNA from 1 species